rnacentral:tRNA from 1 species
GCCUUCGUAGCUCAAUUGGUAGAGCAAGAUCAUUUUAAGAUCGUGGUUACAGGUUCGAGUCCUGUCGGAGUCA